rnacentral:lncRNA from 1 species
UGGCGUCAGGUCAUUUCAGACUCUUCUGUGUCGAGUGGAGGAGCAACUCUGUGCCCAGCUUAGAGGACUGGAAGAGGCCGCAAUCUUCCGCCUGCUGGAGGGUGGAGGAUGGAUGGAGCCUGGAACCUGGGUCACUACCUCGCUGCAGUUGGUGGUGGCGAUAGAGCAGUAGGAGAGCAUUCGGCAGCAGGAGCUUCUCCUGCUGGGCUGGAGGACUAGAAGGAAGAGGCACUGCCACAUGCUGGAGGCUGGAACCUGUGCCACCAUGGCUCGCCUCGCUGUGGUUGGUGGUGACAUCGGAGACUGCAGCUCAGCCACAGUGGUAGAAAUGUGAUGGUGUAGAUGGUUUCCUAGAAACAUGAUUGUUUAUUGGCGUUGAUCUCGCAGUCUGGUGAGAACUUCUUUACUGAUAAUGUCAAGUUCAGUUUAUCCUCCCAACCAAGGAGCAUUCAGCACAGAACAAAGUCGUUCUCCUCCUCACUCUGUAAAGUAUACGUUUCCCAGCACCCACCACCAGCAGGGGUUUGUGUAGGAUUGGUACUUUUCUUUGAAAUGGAGUCUUGCUCUGUCAUCCAGGCUGGAGUGCAGUGGUACAAUCUCA